rnacentral:rRNA from 1 species
CAUGCAAGUCGAACGAAGUUAUUUGAGCUUGCUUAGAUAACUUAGUGGCGGACGGGUGAGUAACACGUGAGCAAUCUGCCUUUCAGAGGGGGAUACCGAUUGGAAACGAUCGUUAAUACCGCAUAACAUAGUAAAUUCGCAUGUUUUUACUAUCAAAGAUUUAUCGCUGAAAGAUGAGCUCGCGUCUGAUUAGGUAGUUGGUGAGGUAACGGCCCACCAAGCCGACGAUCAGUAGCCGGACUGAGAGGUUGAACGGCCACAUUGGGACUGAGACACGGCCCAGACUCCUACGGGAGGCAGCAGUGGGGAAUAUUGCACAAUGGAGGAAACUCUGAUGCAGCGAUGCCGCGUGAGGGAAGAAGGUUUUCGGAUUGUAAACCUCUGUGUACAGGGACGAUAAUGACGGUACCUGUUCAGAAAGCUCCGGCUAACUACGUGCCAGCAGCCGCGGUAAUACGUAGGGAGCGAGCGUUGUCCGGAAUUACUGGGUGUAAAGGGAGUGUAGGCGGGACGGCAAGUCAGAUGUGAAAUUUAGGGGCUCAACCCCUGACCUGCAUUUGAAACUGCUGUUCUUGAGUGAAGUAGAGGUAAGCGGAAUUCCUAGUGUAGCGGUGAAAUGCGUAGAUAUUAGGAGGAACAUCAGUGGCGAAGGCGGCUUACUGGGCUUUAACUGACGCUGAGGCUCGAAAGCGUGGGGAGCAAGCAGGAUUAGAUACCCUGGUAGUCCACGCCGUAAACGAUGAUUACUAGGUGUGGGGGGACUGACCCCUUCCGUGCCGCAGUUAACACAAUAAGUAAUCCACCUGGGGAGUA